UAUAAUGUAGUGGACGGGACGCUUCUUCAACAUCUGUCAGCCACCUCGGUAGCUUCCUAACGGAAACGUUCAAGCUGUUCAGACUGAUUCGGUCUAUAUUUACUUCUGUAUUUGGAACAUAAUUCUGUCUUUUAACUAGUUUCCCCAUUUCAUGUCAUAUUUCCGUUUAGUCAGGUAACGGUAGCUGGCUUGAUAAAUGAGCCUAUCACUAGGCUAGUCGCUAACUAGCUAGGUUAGCUGGCUAACAUCCCCGACCAUGAGCUCAGCAAGCUGCUGCCCUCCUGCUAAAAAAGAGGUCUGCUGGAAGGAGAAAGAAGGUAUUUGGCUGAACGUUGUCGUGAAAGAGGAGAAUGAAGAGGAGGAUGUCACAGUAAAUGAAGAAGUAGAGGGUGAGGCUGUUACACAGAAAGAAGAGGAAGAAAACGAUUAUACUUUUUUUGGAGUGAAUGAAGGAGAGAUAACUGUCAUAUUGAAGGAGGAGGAGAGGGAAGAAGAGGAGGAGACAGAAGAUCUGAGUAACACCAGAGAGAGACCAGACUCUCCUUCUGACAGCAGGAAGAGUCCUUCAGGGAAACCAGACCCCGAGAUGUCCAAACCAGCAGGACGACAUCACUGCUCCCAGUGUGGAAAGAGUUUUACUCAGUUAGGGAGCCUGAGAACACAUAAGAGAAUACACACUGGAGAGAAGCCUUACCACUGUUCCCAAUGUGGAAUGUCGUUUACCCAGUUAGGGAGCCUGGAAACGCAUGAGAGGGGACACACAAGGGAAAAGCUUUUCCAAUGUUCCCAUUGUGGAAAGAGUUUUGGCCAGGUAGGAAACCUGAACAAGCAUGAGAGGACACACACAGGUAAGAAGAUGUACCGCUGCUCCCAGUGUGGAGAGAGAUUUACCCGGUUAAGGUACCUGAAAGAGCAUGAAGGAAUACAUACAAAUACACAGGAGGAGAAGACAUACCACUGCUCUCAUUAUGGAAAGACAUUUUCCCAGUCAGAGAACCUGAAAACACAUGAGAGAAUCGAGAAGCUGUGUUCUGACUUGUGUUUCUGACUGAGAAUGUGUGUGUUUGUUUGGGCUGUCAGACUUGAGUUCACUUUGUGUAAUGUUAGUGCACUAUUUUUCAUUGUGAUUAAUCCAUUGUCUGAAAGGGUUGAAAACACACUGACAACAUCCAGAAUACAUCCUAUAUACAGCUAAAAUCUACAAUGCCAUGUAAACACAAGAUGACAUUGAGGUUAAAUAAAGUGUGAUUUAUCAAUGGAACAUAUUUUGACACGUCCACUGUGUGUCUCUGUAGAGUCAUAAUAUCCAUAACAACUAGAGGUCAAACAGGGAGAUGGUUCCAUUCAUUUUCCCCACAGGGCUGUGUUUUGUUUAGACUCACCCUGGUGUGAUGUUUUGAUAACCAUGUAAACCUCUCUGGGACAAGGUGACUGAGGACACAGUGUGUUGUGAAUUUAUUGUCAUGUUUUUAAAGUGGUAAAAUGUCCUAUUUAUCAAAUGUGCUUUUGGCUGGAGUCAAAAUGACUCCAAAGGAUUUGAAUUUGUUAAAAGUCCUUAUUGAUACAGAAACACUAAACCAUGAUUUAGAUGUAUUAAGAACAAGUUGAUUGACAAAGUCAUGAAACAGGAUGAAUUGAAUGAACCACAUUUUGGCUGUGAUAAAAGAUAUGCCUCUGGGGUCAAAAUGAUCCAUGUCAGAACUAUGGUUCAAUGUAAAUAUGUAGUGGGUCUAACGUUUGUUUUAAAUUAUCACUCAUUAAAAACGAAUCAAUCAACACAUCCUUUUCUUUGAACGACUUAAAUAUGAUAAUCAACUUUAAUGAAAUAAAUUAAAAAAUAAACUUUUGGUUCCUCAACUGCGUUGCCCCUCCAGUCAGCAGAUGGCGAUGUGCGUCUUUUACGUUCAGGCGACGCUGCCAGUGUGACGUAUAAUCUAGUGGACGGGACGCUCCUUCAACAACAACAGUUAGACACCUCGGUAGCUUUAUAGCAAACAUAGCUACAACAUUCACUCUCUUUACACUGUUUUGGUGUAUGUUAGUCGCUGUGUAUUAAACAUACUUCUGUCGUAUGUACGUGUUGGCCCAUUUAAUUAUAUAUUUACGUUGUUUGUCAGCUAGCUGGUUUGCUAAAUUAGCUUAGAACUAGGCUAGUUGCUAAUGCUAGCUAGCGAACAUCUCCGACCAUGAGUUCACUAAGCUACUCUCCUCCUGCUAAAGAAGAGGAGGUCUUCUGGACGGAGAAAGAAGCUCUCCUGAAAGAGGAGGAGGAAGGGAAGGAUGUUUCAAUACAAAAACAAGUAGAGGGUGAGGCUGUUACCGUGAAAGAAGAAGAGAAAGACGUUUCAGUGAAAGAAAAGGAAGACUCGUUCAGAGUGAAAGAGGAGGAGGAUGUUACAGUAAAAGAAGAGGAAGCGGAGAGAGAGGAGGGUGCAGUUUAUGGAGUGAAAGAGGAGGAGGGGGAGAUGACUGUCACAUCGAAAAAGGAGGAGGAGGACGAAGAGGAGGAAACUGGAUAUCUGGGCCCGGUUUCCCCAACGCAUCUUAAGGCAUCCUAUGGUUCCAACGGUGAACUCAGCCGUAAGAUGGUUUUGAGAAACCGGGCCGUGAUUAACACUAGUAAGUACUGUCUUAAAAACAGAGGCACAAACUCUGCAGUUGUUGAACUGAUGUGUGGUGUUAAAGGGGAAAUAUGCAAUUGCUACAUUUAUAUUAUUUAUAGCCAUUGAUUCUUGAAGAAUAUAACACAAACCUCAUGAGCUUAGUUCAGCUGUUGUACCCCAUCAGAACCCCAAAUAAGAUUUUAUUUCAUGAUAUCAAUGAAUUAAUGUCACAAUGUAGAAUGUUUAAACAUUGCAGAAGGAGUAUUUUAAUGAUGUCACAAUGUAGAAUGUUUAAACAUAGUAGGAGUAUUUUAAUGAUGUCACAAUGUAGAAUGUUUAAACAUUGUAGUAGGAGUAUUUUAAUGAUGUCACAAUGUAGAAUGUUUAAACAUUGUAGAAGGAGUAUUUUAAUGAUGUCACAAUGUAGAAUGUAUAAACAUUGUAGAAGGAGUAUUUUAAUGAUGUCACAAUGUAGAAUGUUUUAACAUUGCAGAAGGAGUAUUUUAAUGAUGUCACAAUGUAGAAUGUUUAAACAUUGUAGAAGGAGUAUUUUAAUGAUGUCACAAUGUAGAAUGUUUAAACAUUGUAGAAGGAGUAUUUUAAUGAUGUCACAAUGUAGAAUGUUUAAACAUUGUAGUAGGAGUAUUUUAAUGAUGUCACAAUGUAGAAUGUUUAAACAUUGUAGUAGGAGUAUUUUAAUGAUGUCACAAUGUAGAAUGUUUUAACAUUGUAGUAGGAGUAUUUUAAUGAUGUCACAAUGUAGAACACUAAACGUUUGCCCCCUGUUCAAUUGAUUUCUGCAUAAUAUGGAUAUUAGCCUCAGGGGGGAAAUCCAGGCUCUGAAUGUAAAGAGUGAUAUUUAUAUGAUAUAACAGAAAGUGACUAACACAAAAAGAGCUGUGUUACACUUACAGCAUUGGUGACCCACUGGAAUCAAAAUGUAGCUAGAUGUUUUCUACAAGUUGUCCUCUAACCAGUGAUGUACACAUUAUUCCCAGAUUCCAUGUGGUUUUUGAGCUGUUAGUUUUAACAGGACAAACUCAUCUCCAGACUCUCACACAAAUGAUUUCAACAUGAUAUCGAUGAGGGAUGAAAAAUAAGUGUUGCGUUCCUUUGUUUAACGACCUCUAAAUGUAAAUGCAUCUCUCCAAAAUGUAGCUGACUGUCUUCUGCAGGUUGUCCUCUAACCAGGGAGGUAAAAUAUAUCUCCCAUUUCCAUGUGUUUUUUUAGUUGUGUUAGUUUCAACAGCACCAACAACCUGAUUUCCCCCUAAUUGAUAUCAGUGAUUUAUUGAUACUUGUCAAAACAACAGUGUUUCUGGUGCUCCUGCAUUUUAAAAGGUGCUUGUUUAAGUAAUAUGAUUAUUGUUGCAGAUGUUUGUGCAGAUGGUACAUUUUAUGUUUAGGUUUUCAAUAUCACAAAUGGUUUCUGCAUAUUGGUUAUUGAUUUGGACACAUUAAAGCUGUGUUUUGACAUUGGGCUGAA